rnacentral:rRNA from 1 species
UGCAGUCGACGAUGAACCUCCUUCGGGAGGGGAUUAGUGGCGAACGGGUGAGUAACACGUGGGCAAUCUGCCCUGCACUCUGGGACAAGCCCUGGAAACGGGGUCUAAUACCGGAUACUGAUCAUCUUGGGCAUCCUUGGUGAUCGAAAGCUCCGGCGGUGCAGGAUGAGCCCGCGGCCUAUCAGCUUGUUGGUGAGGUAACGGCUCACCAAGGCGACGACGGGUAGCCGGCCUGAGAGGGCGACCGGCCACACUGGGACUGAGACACGGCCCAGACUCCUACGGGAGGCAGCAGUGGGGAAUAUUGCACAAUGGGCGCAAGCCUGAUGCAGCGACGCCGCGUGAGGGAUGACGGCCUUCGGGUUGUAAACCUCUUUCAGCAGGGAAGAAGCGCAAGUGACGGUACCUGCAGAAGAAGCGCCGGCUAACUACGUGCCAGCAGCCGCGGUAAUACGUAGGGCGCGAGCGUUGUCCGGAAUUAUUGGGCGUAAAGAGCUCGUAGGCGGCUUGUCGCGUCGGUUGUGAAAGCCCGGGGCUUAACCCCGGGUCUGCAGUCGAUACGGGCAGGCUAGAGUUCGGUAGGGGAGAUCGGAAUUCCUGGUGUAGCGGUGAAAUGCGCAGAUAUCAGGAGGAACACCGGUGGCGAAGGCGGAUCUCUGGGCCGAUACUGACGCUGAGGAGCGAAAGCGUGGGGAGCGAACAGGAUUAGAUACCCUGGUAGUCCACGCCGUAAACGGUGGGCACUAGGUGUGGCGACAUUCCACGUCGUCCGUGCCGCAGCUAACGCAUUAAGUGCCCCGCCUGGGGGAGUA